rnacentral:lncRNA from 1 species
UUUAAUUAGACCAUAAUAAUGCUAAGCAAGCUUAAAAAAAUUUAAAAAAAACCUCAAAGAAAUUUCAAACAAACAAUAAGAAUUCUUAAAGAAAUAUUAGAAAGAUCACAAAUAUCACUCAAAUACAUCUCAAUUCAAUCUUAAUUUAAUUCUAGUUAAAAUCCUAUUGAACUUCAUUCAAACUUUACGCCAAAACUAAUUGAAUCUUAAGUCCUAAUAAAAUCUUAAACCGCAAAUCAAACCCUAAACAAACCUUACACCAAACUCCAAGCAAAUCCUAAAUCAAAUCCUAAAUCUUAAAUCAAACCCUAACCAAAUCCUAAACCCUAAAUCAACUCCUAAUCCAAAUCCAAAAUCCUAAACCAAAUCCUAAAUCCUAAAUCAAAUCCUAAUUAAAUCCUAAAUUCUAAAUCAAACCCUAACCAAACCCUAAACCCUAAAUAAAAUCCUAACCAAAUCUUAAACCAAACCCUAAUCCAAAUCCUAAUCCAAACCCUAAAUCCUAAAUCAAAUCCUAAAACCUAACCAAAUCCUAAACCAAAUCCUAAAUCCUAAAUCAAA